rnacentral:rRNA from 1 species
GGAGUUUGGACCGUGUCUCAGUUCCAAUGUGGGGGCCUUCCUCUCAGAACCCCUACUGAUCGUCGCCUUGGUGGGCCGUUACCCCGCCAACAAGCUAAUCAGACGCGAGGCCAUCUCAGAGCGAUAAAUCUUUGGCAGUCCGAGCCAUGCGACCCAACUGCUUCAUGCGGUAUUAGCACAAAUUUCUCUGUGUUAUUCCCCUCUCCAAGGCAGGUUCCUCACGCGUUACUCACCCGUCCGCCACUAAGAAUUCCCUUCCCUUGUCCGAAAACGCGUUCAGGGGUUCUCCGUUCGACUUGCAUGUGUUAAGCACGCCGCCAGCGUUCAUC